AAUUGAGAGUUUGAUCCUGGCUCAGGAUGAACGCUGGCGGUAUGCUUAACACAUGCAAGUCGAACGAGAAAGUACCUUCGGGUGCGAGUAGAGUGGCGCACGGGUGAGUAACACGUAGGUAAUCUGCCUUUUGGUGGGGGAUAACCAGGAGAAAUCCUGGCUAAUACCGCAUAAGUUGGUAACAAGAAAGGAUGCUCCGGCAUUCGCCGAAAGAUGAGCCUGCGGAACAUUAGCUUGAUGGUGGGGUAACGGCCUACCAUGGCUUCGAUGUUUAGCUGGUCUGAGAGGAUGAUCAGCCACACUGGAACUGAGACACGGUCCAGACUGCUACGGGAGGCAGCAGUGGGGAAU
rnacentral:rRNA from 1 species